rnacentral:misc_RNA from 1 species
GAUGAAGAACGUAGCGAAAUGCGAUAAGUAAUGUGAAUUGCAGAAUUCAGUGAAUCAUCGAAUCUUUGAACGCACAUUGCGCCCGGUAGUAUUCUGCCGGGCAUGCCUGUUCGAGCGUCAUUUCAACCAUCAAGCCCCAGCGCUUGUGUUGGGGGCCUGCGGCUGCCGCAGCCCCCUAAAAGCAGUGGCGGGCUCGCUAUCACACCGAGUGCAGUAGUUCAUCUUCUCUCCGGUCUUGUGAGGCGGGUUCCGGCCGUGAAACACCCCACUACAUUCAAGGUUGACCUCGGAUCAGGUAGGAAUACUCGCUGAACUUAAGCAUAUCAAUAAGCGGAGGA